rnacentral:rRNA from 1 species
CACUGCCGAGAAAAGCCUCUAGAUAGAAAAUAGGUGCCCGUACCGCAAACCGACACAGGUAGUCAAGAUGAGAAUUCUAAGGUGAGCGAGCGAACUCUCGUUAAGGAACUCGGCAAAAUGACCCCGUAACUUCGGGAGAAGGGGUGCUCUUUAGGGUUAACGCCCAGAAGAGCCGCAGUGAAUAGGCCCAAGCGACUGUUUAUCAAAAACACAGGUCUCUGCUAAACCGUAAGGUGAUGUAUAGGGGCUGACGCCUGCCCGGUGCUGGAAGGUUAAGAGGAGUGGUUAGCUUCUGCGAAGCUACGAAUCGAAGCCCCAGUAAACGGCGGCCGUAACUAUAACGGUCCUAAGGUAGCGAAAUUCCUUGUCGGGUAAGUUCCGACCCGCACGAAAGGCGUAACGAUUUGGGCACUGUCUCAACGAGAGACUCGGUGAAAUCAUAGUACCUGUGAAGAUGCAGGUUACCCGCGACAGGACGGAAAGACCCCGUGGAGCUUUACUGUAGCCUGAUAUUGAAAUUCGGCACAGCUUGUACAGGAUAGGUAGGAGCCUUUGAAACGUGAGCGCUAGCUUACGUGGAGGCGCUGGUGGGAUACUACCCUAGCUGUGUUGGCUUUCUAACCCGCACCACUUAUCGUGGUGGGAGACAGUGUCAGGCGGGCAGUUUGACUGGGGCGGUCGCCUCCUAAAAGGUAACGGAGGCGCUCAAAGGUUCCCUCAGAAUGGUUGGAAAUCAUUCAUAGAGUGUAAAGGCAUAAGGGAGCUUGACUGCGAGACCUACAAGUCGAGCAGGGUCGAAAGACGGACUUAGUGAUCCGGUGGUUCCGCAUGGAAGGGCCAUCGCUCAACGGAUAAAAGCUACCCCGGGGAUAACAGGCUUAUCUCCCCCAAGAGUUCACAUCGACGGGGAGGUUUGGCACCUCGAUGUCGGCUCAUCGCAUCCUGGGGCUGUAGUCGGUCCCAAGGGUUGGGCUGUUCGCCCAUUAAAGCGGUACGCGAGCUGGGUUCAGAACGUCGUGAGACAGUUCGGUCCCUAUCCGUCGUGGGCGUAGGAAAUUUGAGAGGAGCUGUCCUUAGUACGAGAGGACCGGGAUGGACAUACCUCUGGUGUACCAGUUGUCGUGCCAACGGCAUAGCUGGGUAGCUAUGUGUGGACGGGAUAAGUGCUGAAAGCAUCUAAGCAUGAAGCCCCCCUCAAGAUGAGAUUUCCCAACUUCGGUUAUAAGAUCCCUCAAAGAUGAUGAGGUUAAUAGGUUCGAGGUGGAAGCAUGGUGACAU